rnacentral:rRNA from 1 species
AUAUCAUAAGCGGAGGAAAAGAAACUAACAAGGAUUCCCCUAGUAACUGCGAGUGAAGCGGGAAAAGCUCAAAUUUAAAAUCUGUCAGUCCUUUGGCUGUCCGAGUUGUAAUCUAGAGAAGUGUUAUCCGCGCUGGACCGUGUACAAGUCUCCUGGAAUGGAGCGUCAUAGAGGGUGAGAAUCCCGUCUUUGACACGGACUGCCAGGGCUUUGUGAUGCGCUCUCAAAGAGUCGAGUUGUUUGGGAAUGCAGCUCAAAAUGGGUGGUAAAUUCCAUCUAAAGCUAAAUAUUGGCGAGAGACCGAUAGCGAACAAGUACCGUGAGGGAAAGAUGAAAAGAACUUUGGAAAGAGAGUUAAACAGUACGUGAAAUUGCUGAAAGGGAAACGCUUGAAGUCAGUCGCGUUGGCCAGGGAUCAACCUUGCUCUUGCUUGGUGUAUUUCCUGGUUGACGGGUCAGCAUCAAUUUUGACUAUUGGAAAAAGAUCAAGGGAAUGUGGCAUCUUUGGAUGUGUUAUAGCCUUUGGUUGCAUACAAUGGUUGGGAUUGAGGAACUCAGCACGCCGCAAGGCCGGGUUUUUUAACCACGUACGUGCUUAGGAUGCUGGCAUAAUGGCUUUAAUCGACCCGUCUUGAAACACGGACCAAGGAGUCUAACAUGCCUGCGAGUGUUUGGGUGGAAAACCCGAGCGCGUAAUGAAAGUGAAAGUUGAGAUCCCUGUCGUCGGGAGCAUCGACGCCCGGACCAGACCUUUUGUGACGGUUCCGCGGUAGAGCAUGUAUGUUGGGACCCGAAAGAUGGUGAACUAUGCCUGAAUAGGGUGAAGCCAGAGGAAACUCUGGUGGAGGCUCGUAGCGAUUCUGACGUGCAAAUCGAUCGUCAAAUUUGGGUAUAGGGGCGAAAGACUAAUCGAACCAUCUAGUAGCUGGUUCUG